AUUCAUUAAGUAUCGUAGUAAAGGAAAGACGCAAAGUUGAUAGCAGAGUAAAAUUCACAAAGUAAACCCGCAGCAUGGGCUGUACGCAUUGUUCAAAGUUCUUCUACAGCGAAGAACAGGUCCAGAAUGCGAACAACACAUGUCGGGGCAAAAGAAGAAGGCGAUCGCCUGGUGUAAUUAGGAGAAUUUUCAGUCGAAAUAGAAACAGAGUCCAGCCAUCCCAGUCCGAGACCUCCAGUGAAGCAUCCACCACACGAGGUCCACCCAGUGGCGCCAGCACCCCGGUGGUGCCAAAUUAUGAUAUAUUUUGCACGGAUCGAACCUCAAGAAAAUCAAAAUCUUCAUGCAGCAGCACCCUAGAGCAAGCGAUCGAGCAAGCAACCGCAAUCACCGAAACGUUGACAGAGAAAACACGCCCAGAGUUUGAAGAAGAGGAGAAGACCAGUGGCACGUACAAGCCAGCUGAAGUCCCAGAGGAAGCCCCAGAAGUCCCAGAGGAAGCCCCAGAAGUCCCAGAUGAAGCCCAAGAAGAAAUCCCAGAAGAAGAUAUGUACAAGAGCAGCUAUGAGAGCCAAGAAACCGAAGAAAGAGAGGAAACUGAAGAGAGCACAGAGAGCAAAGAGCCAGCCCCUGCGGUUCGCUACCAGAUCACCGUUCACAUCCCCCUCUGCCAAUGCACCGGAUGUAGAACCGGCGAGGAACCGGAGACCGAGUCUGAGGCCGAUGUCGAGUCGGAAAAUGAGCGGGAACUUGAGCCCCGCAGACUCAAGCGCAAGAAAACUGCCUGCAAGAGGACAAUUCGCCAUUUCAAGUCCAGCUUCCCAUGCGUUCUCGGUCGUAAGCCACAGAAGAAACCAGCCCUGUCCAAGACAGAGAGACUGAGGAUCCGCUCCUUGGAAAUGGCAUAUAGGAGCCCUAGCCCCGGAUGGUAUCGACUGUACUGUUCAAGAUCCAGGUCUGGCGUCGACGUCAAGAAGACUUGGUCAGAGCGCCAUCUCCUCCGCCGCAACCCGGCACCAAACAACGUCGAUAGCAGGCCCAUAGAAACCCUUGUGCAGUUCUAUAAAGCCAAGCUAGAUGCUGAAGAUGAUGAGGAAGAUAGCGACAGCGGCGAUAGCACCAGUAACCCAGACAGCAACAGGGGACGCAACAUGACCAGAAGAAGCACGGCUAAGCUCAUCACGGCCAACAGCUUUGCAAAAAUCAGCACCGCCAGAAACAGCAUGGCUGGAGGUAGCAGUGCUGGAAUCACCAUGGCUGAUUUGACAGGAAGCAGCACUGCUAGUUGCAGCUUGGCAGAUAGGAGCAUGGCUGGAAGCAGCACUGCCACAAGCAGCAGGACCAGAGGCAGCAUUCCCAGAAACAACAUGGCUGGAAGCAGCAGUCCUGGAAGCAGCUUGGCUGCACUGGCUGGUAGCAGCACUGCUAGAAGCAGCAUGGCUGGAAGCAGCACUGCCACAAGUAGCAGGACCAGAGGCAGCAUUCCCAGAAACAACAUGGCUGGAAGCAGCAGUCCUGGAAGCAGCAUGGCAGAUAGCAGCAUAGCUGGAAGCAGCCCUGCCACAAGUAGCAUGGCCGGAAGCAGCACAGCAAGUGGCACUGUGAGAAUAUUAGUCAGCACUGCUAGCAGCUCAGCCAGCAACACAGCAAGCAGCCUGACAAGAAGCAGCACUGCCGGAAGCAGCACAGCAAACCGCUCGACCAGCAACACAGCAGGUAGCAUAGCUGGAAGUAGCAGAUCAAGCAGCACUGUCGGCAGCAGCACAGAAAGCAGCACAGCUGUCAAUGCUGCAAGCAACAUAGCAAUAUGCUCAACCAAACACAGCUAUGCAAACCAUGCAACCAGCAACAGGGCAGGCAACACAGCAAAUCAAGCAACAAGCAGCACAGCUAACCUUGCAGCAAGCAGCACAACUGUCAACACAGCAAGUAGCACAGCUAACCAAGCAGCAAGCAGCACAGCCAACAGCACAGCAAGUAGCACAGCUAACCAAGUAGCAGGCAGCACAGCUAACGACACAGCAAGCACCACAGCUAAAGCAGCAAGCAGCAAGGCUAGAUGUAAAAUGGCCAAAAGCAGAACAGCAAGCAAACCUGCAGGCAGCACAGAUAACCAAGUGGCCAGCAGCACAGGUAACCAAGUAGCUAGCGAUUCAGCCAACCAAGAGCCAAGCAGUAACUCAAAGAAAAAAGCCAACAGCAAGGCUAGAAACACAUCGGCCAGAAGUAGAAUGAUCUUUGUUACACCCAGCAACUUGGAAAGCAGCUCAACCAAACAGGCGGUGCGCAACAUGGCUAACUUAGCAGCUAGCAUUACAGCCAGCCAAGCGUCUAAUUUAGUGGCAAACAGCAAAGACCAUAAAGUGGCAAACAGCACAGCCAAUCAAGUGGCGAGCAGCAAUGCCAAACAAAAGGCUACAAACAGCCCAACCAGAAGUAGAAUAAUCUUUGCUACAGCUGGCAACAUGGAGAGCAGCACAGCCAAUGAGAUGGGAAGCAGCAUGGCUCACAUGGCAGCAAGCAGCGCAGCCAACCAAGCGGCAGGCAGCAUGGCUCACUUGGCAGCAAGCAGCACAGCCAACCAAGGUGCAAGCAGCAUGGCUCACUUAGCAGCAAGCAGCACAGCCUACCAAGCAGCAAGCAGCAUGGCUCACUUAGCGACAAGCAGCGCAGCCUACCAAGGAGCAAGCAGCACAGCCUACCAAGGAGCAAGCAGCAUGGCUCACUUAGCAGCAAGCAGCACAGCCUACCAAGCAGCAAGCAACAUGGCUCACUUAGCAGCAAGCACCACAGCCAACCAAGCGGCAAACAGCAUGGCUCACUUAGCAGCAAGCAGCACAGCCUACCAAGGAGCAAGCAACAUGGCUCACUUAACAGCAAGCAGCACAGCCAACCAAGCAGCAAGCAGCUCGGCCAGAAUGGGAUCGCUCGUCAUAACAGCCGACAACAUGGCAUGCAACAAUAGAAAAAGCCCGUCCAUCAGAUGCAGCCAAAGCAAAGGAAACCGGGCAUCCAAGAAGGGAGGGGGAAGCGGGAGGGAGGGGGAGGGUCAUAACUAAGGUAUGUUUAUUACUUACGUUUGCUAAGUUCAUCCCCAUAUUAUUAUGAUUAUUCAUAAUUUAAUGUAAUGGAAUCUGCAUAUUUUGUUCAUGGAUUUGCAUUGCCAUCGUAUACAUGUACAUCGUCGUUGGGUCAAUGCAUUUAUAUGCAUAUACGUAUUGCGUAUUACCGUGGCUUGACGGGGCAUUUUGACCCUUCAAAGAAAGCAAGAGAGAAAAAAAAACAAAUAAUGAAAAACUAUCUACCGAUCUAAUAUAUG
rnacentral:sRNA from 1 species